rnacentral:tRNA from 1 species
GGGCCGUUAGCUCAGUUGGCAGAGCAGCUGACUCUUAAUCAGCGGGUCCAAGGUUCGAGUCCUUGACGGCCCA